CCUGCACCUCAUCUCCUCGUUAGACCAGUUAGUUUUUAAGUCCUGUUCAGUCUUUGUUGGUUCUGUUUUGUUCUGUUUAGAUUCCUGCAUGCACUCCGGUUUGCUCUUCACUCCUAACAAAGAGUUUUCUUCAGACCUGCUUCACCUUCAGUCUCAGAAUUUGGGUCCAUUCCUGCUACUCACCGAGACAUAAAGUAGCAUCACAUGGAAAUACUCAACCUCAGAAGUUGCCGCUUGGUCUUCACAUGUCCAAUAGAUUCUUCCCACAUGAUAACCGCUGGAAUCAACCUGAAAAUCGAUGGAGUCGUCCUUUAAGGCUCUCUGCUGCCAUCUGCUGCUCACAUGAAGUUACUGCAGCAACAAACUGGACCAGAUGCACAGAAGUGUUUCAGCAGUUAGUGAAGAGGAAAUUCAUUUCAUGUUUUGCUGUUUUUUCUGUUUCUGUGAGUUUAGCAGCUCUUUUACUGUCUCGUUGUGUCUUAUUGUGUUGGUGUUUUUAUGGCUCUCGCGGGACAAUAAAGAUCUGACGUGAACUUAAAAAGAUACUUGAAGACUUUGUGAAGUUUGAUGUUUGAACUGUUUAUUCAAAUCACAUAAAAGAUGCAGAAGAGUUGAAAUCUGUUCUUGAAUCUUUUAACUGAAACUUUAGAUCAUCAGAUAUUUGUAAUUUAAUAUUUUCUCUCAGUAGUUUGUUGUGAUUCAUCAGAGCAGAGAGGAUCUCUGCGUUCUGUUUGUGAACAGAUAAAUAAUAUUUAAGCAGAAGGAAACUGUAACACGUCUUCUGUCUGUUCUUCAUCUCGCUGCUGUUUGGACUUUCAGUUUGUUUCAGGUUUGAUUUUAUGAACUCUAUGUCAAGAAGGUGUGAGUGGAGCAGGUGGACCCAAAUGCAGAUGGUGGCAGGCAGGAUCAGAUGCAGAAAUAUUUAAUUAAAUAAUUCAAAACAGUUACAGGAGACACUGAGACACAGGAACAAACAUAGAAUAAAUGCAGGACAUAAACGCAGUACGAAAGCAGACGACUCGACAAAGACCGAACUGAAAACUGGACUAUAAAUGCACAGGGUGCACAGGUGAGGGAAACGAGACACAGGUG